rnacentral:rRNA from 1 species
GGGAGGUAGUGACAAUAAAUAACAAUACAGGGCUUUCUAGUCUUGUAAUUGGAAUGAGUACAAUUUAAAUCCCUUAACGAGGAACAAUUGGAGGGCAAGUCUGGUGCCAGCAGCCACGGUAAUUCCAGCUCCAAUAGCGUAUAUUAAAGUUGUUGCAGUUAAAAAGCUCGUAGUUGAAUUUCGGGGUCAGUAGGUUGGUCGUGCCACUGGUAUGUACUGGCCUUACUGAUUCCUCCUUCUUGAAGAACUGUGAUGCCAUUUAUUUGGUGUUGCAGGGAAACAGGACUGUUACUUUGAAAAAUUAGAGUGUUUAAAGCAGGCUAACGCUUGAAUACAUUAGCAUGGAAUAAUGAAAUAGGACGUUCGAUCCUAUUUUGUUGGUUUCUAGGAUUGACGUAAUGAUUAAUAGGGAUAGUUGGG